rnacentral:rRNA from 1 species
UGGGGAAUAUUGGACAAUGGGCGCAAGCCUGAUCCAGCAAUGCCGCGUGUGUGAAGAAGGCCUUCGGGUUGUAAAGCACUUUUGUCCGGAAAGAAGUCCUUGGCUCUAAUACAGUCGGGGGAUGACGGUACCGGAAGAAUAAGCACCGGCUAACUACGUGCCAGCAGCCGCGGUAAUACGUAGGGUGCAAGCGUUAAUCGGAAUUACUGGGCGUAAAGCGUGCGCAGGCGGUUUGCUAAGACCGAUGUGAAAUCCCCGGGCUCAACCUGGGAACUGCAUUGGUGACUGGCAGGCUAGAGUAUGGCAGAGGGGGGUAGAAUUCCACGUGUAGCAGUGAAAUGCGUAGAGAUGUGGAGGAAUACCGAUGGCGAAGGCAGCCCCCUGGGCCAAUACUGACGCUCAUGCACGAAAGCGUGGGGAGCAAAACAGGAUUAGAUACCCUGGUAGUCCACGCCCUAAACGAUGGUCAACUAGUUGUUGGGGAUUCAUUUCCUUAGUAACGUAGCUAACGCGUGAAGUUGACCGCCUGGGGAGUACGGUCGCAAGAUUAAAA